rnacentral:tRNA from 1 species
GCGGGUGUAAUUCAGUGGCAGAAUGGAAGCUUCCCAAGCUUCAUACGUGGGUUCGAUUCCCAUCACCCGCUCAA